rnacentral:rRNA from 1 species
AUGGCGACCGGCGCACGGGUGAGUAACACGUAUCCAACCUGCCGAUAACUCGGGGAUAGCCUUUCGAAAGAAAGAUUAAUACCCGAUGGCAUAAUUAGACUGCAUGGUCUUAUUAUUAAAGAAUUUCGGUUAUCGAUGGGGAUGCGUUCCAUUAGGCAGUUGGUGAGGUAACGGCUCACCAAACCUUCGAUGGAUAGGGGUUCUGAGAGGAAGGUCCCCCACAUUGGAACUGAGACACGGUCCAA